UGACCCAAGCUGAAAUCAAGAGUCAGAUGCUCAACUGACCGAAUCACCCAGCCUUGCUGUGGCUGAGAGGUCUGUCAGAUGCAGCUCUGGCCUAUGCUUGAAGUGCUGCGUGCUGUGAAAAGUCCCACCUUGACCAGGUUCCUGGAGGGGUCAAAAAACACAUAUCAUCUGCGAACCCUUUCUCGGUCACAACUAAAGCCAGCUUGGCCUACCAAAGCUUCUCCUACAUCUUGGACCCACUGGCAGGUCAGCUUCCAACUAGGACAAUCUGGGUGACAGUCCUCAAUCGGAAAGGACUGGAGAGGUCUUGUGGUCCCUUCAUUACAGAGGUUCCACGGCUUGGCAUGGUCACCCAGCUGGCCAGAGGCAGACCCUCUUCAUGUCCCAGCCCAAGGAUGCUUUAUGGAAAGGACACUGCUCAUCAACUGACCUGGACGGCCUUCAGACCACAGGGCCCGCCAUGAGAGGCGUAUGGAUGGCGAAACUGACCGGCUGUGGGUUAACGGCUGGGGAAGUUGCAUGCCUCCCCCCACAGCCUCUGACGACUCUUCCUCUCCAGGCUGCAACAUCUGUUCAUAUGGCCACCCCUGGCUGCUCCAGCCUGUCCUGAACCUUCCCUGCCUCUUCCCUCAGCAUCGGAGCCCAUCUGUGUGUUUGUGUGAGCAAAGGAAAGGUGCAGAAAGAUGUUUGUCACCUGUUAACAGUGGCUACCUUGAGUGGUGGGAUUGGAAGCGGCAGAUGGAGAUGAUUAACUUUUCUGGUACCCAGCUCUGUGUUGCCUGACUUGUUACAACUGGCAUCUACUACACAUGCAAUUUUUAAAAAUCCAAUAAAUUAAAAGACCAGUUGUAGAAGGAAGCAUACAGUAUGAUAUCAUGCAUAUAAAAUAAAAAACUACAAAACACAAUACUGUGCAUUGUUUAUGGGGCUAUACCUAGGCAGUAAAAGCCCCAAGCCUGCCCAAACACUACCUCCUAGUUGGGAAGAGCUGUUACAGAAGGGGGUGUAGUGGGGUCGAGAGAGGCAACUUUGAGCCGUGACAUUCUGUUUCCUUAAAA